UCCCUGGGCAACCUGUUCCAGUUCUUCAUCACACUCACAAGAAAUAAUUUAUUCUCAAUAUUUAAUCUAAACAUACCCUCUGCCAGCUUGAAGUCACUCUCUGUACAAAUCCUUGAAAAAAAUCCCACUAUAUCUCUUUUAGGUAGAGGAAGGUUGCUAUAAAGCCUCCCCAGAACCUCCAUUUCUUCAGGCUGAACAAUCACCUGUGUUUGUUUCCAUUCUACAUCUGUAAAAUGGGUUACCUGGAUUUCCUAGCCUUACGUAUAUAGGAAACUGAUAAUAGUGGAGGACAAAUUUUGUUGAGAAUGCUGUCUAACCUGAUGACAAUGGAAGCAUUACAUAUAACUUGACAGGGCAUUAAAUUGCCAUACAGUAAAAUUUAGCUUCCCUCUGGAGAGUUAACAUGCUUAAAAGUGUCAUUUCUGCUUAUUGAUAGCCUUUAAAGAACCUGGAAACCUCAUGUGAUGGCGAAGUUGACUCCCUUCCAAAUUCUGGAAACUAGUUGCACCUAUUAAUUCUUUACAUGCUUCAUAAUUUAGAUUAAGUAAUUCAAUCAGUCAAUUCAGUUAGCCUGCGAGUUUAUUCAAAUCUUGUGAAUAUUUAGAAAUAUCAGAUACAUCAGCAGUGUGUGUUUAAAAGUAUGUUUGAACACUGAGAAACAUGUUCCAGGAGUGUUACACUCAUAAAAAUGGGUCUGAAAAAGGAAACAACAUUCUCAACAAAUACUCCCUUAUUUUCAAGAGUGCAGAUGGAGGAAAUGUGAGGCACCAAUGAGUGUCAGUGAAAGCAAGUUUAAUUGGAAACAAGAGAUGUUUCUCUAUAUCAUAGUCACAAACACCUUCAUUCUAAAGACAAUUUGGCCUUCUCCUCCUCUGAAAAUGAAAAUAAAAUGAAGAAAAAGAAAGGGGGAAAAACCCAGAGCUUUUUCCAGUAUCUUUCUAAGCACUCUGAGAUAAAUUUUUGCAGACAAAUUUUAUGUAUGUUAAACACUAUUGCUCUUUUUGGAAAAAUUUUCCCAUUUCAUCCAAGGACAUCAUAAUGUUAUCUGCUGAGCUUCCCUAGGACUUUGAUUCUCUGACAACACUGUGUCCUUCUGUCCAGAUCUGAAUGGUGUGGUUGGAUUUGUAGUGUGGUGGAAGAGUUCACAUACAACCCCGUACAUCUGGAACUGGUAGGGAACAUUUUUUUAUUUCUAAGUAUGCAAAGAAGUCCACACCAAAAGAUAUAACUGGGCACUUUAUUUCAAGUGAAUUUUCAGAUAAAGGAAAUCAGAGACUCUAGCUAUAGGCUGAGGCAUUUUCCCAAAAGGUCUCUCUUACUUUCAUAGGUAAACCAAUCUUUCCUUUCUGUGUAGCUCAUCAUCCCUUGUAAAUGAAGAUGCCAGCCCUGCUUUGUGACAACCAUUAUGGCCCUAAUGGGGCAGUAGGAGAAAGCCCACACCAAUGAGAUCUCCAGUGCCCAAAUUUAAAAUAUAUUCCCCAGGAGAAAAAGGGAGAACACUAGCUAAUCACUUGUGAGUUCAAGUGGUGUCACAUCACAACAAAGGUCACUAGCUAUCCCACACCACCUUCUUCCACACAAGGGGGAGGUAAGAUACGGUACAAAAUCAAAUCUUUAUCUUAUCACAUUUUUCCAACAUGUUCUGUUUUCAUUACAGGACUGAUAGCACAAAAAUAGCAAUUCCUGCAAUUUGUUUCUGUUGAAGCCAAACUAACCCACCCAGUUUAUGCAUACAGUUUGCUUACAUUCCUGUGAGCAAUAGCUUUGCUCUCUCAAAGAUCAGCUAGGCAGCGAUAAUUGAGAAGGAAAAAUUUUUUACAGAUCCUUGACACAAAGAAGCUAAACGGCAAGAGUACAGGUUGUUAGUUUUGGGGUUUUUUUUUAGAUUACUGCUCCUUCCUACAGCAAUUUUCCUACUCAACGUGAAGCUUACAUUAAACACUGAAAAUUUUGCUUAAUGGAAAAGAUACAGAAUUUUGGACAGCUACAUCCAGGAAACAUUUUUGAUUUCCCUUUUCACCAAAAACAAGUUAAAUGCAGCAGGAACUCUGUACUCUGUUUCUCAUCUUGAAAUAUGUUCAGGGCUGCCUGAGUGGAUUAUGCCUCUUGGCAGAGGUCACUGCCACACCUGCUGCUCAUAUUCCACCCUGGUAACAGCCAGAUCAGUCACAGUUUGAGGAAGCCAGGCUCCUUGCCCUCCUUUGCCUGAGAAUUUUUAAACCAACAUCACAAGUCAUUCUCCUGGGAUGGGAGAGGUCCUCAGCUGUUCCAAGGACUGCCUAUGCACUGCAGCUUAGGAGUGGUGCAUGUGAAAUAUAUAAACAGACCGUGGAAGAAUGUCUCCAGCCUGUGUCUUUGCAUGUCCCCAGGGAGUACUCUAACUGCAUAAUCAUGCAAAUGAAUAAACUCUUUCCAGGAUUUUCAUGCUUUCAUGCACAUCACAGCAGGUAGCAUGGGUAAUGUCCCCAGGGAGCCAGGUGGGUUAGCAAAGCAGAGUUAACGCCCUCUGAUGGAUAGACCUGAUCCCUAUUCUCCCACGCCACCGAUAAAGAUGGGGAGAAUUAUUUUAUUGCAAGGAAAGAAAUGGUAUUAAAAUUACUAUGGCUAUGUUAAUUUAAAAUAAAUAUUAAAAAAAAUAUGACCCAUACUCAUCUUUAAAGGAAUGCAGUGUGAACCUAUGGAAGGAAGUGAGGGAAAGGGACGGGCUGCUGCAGACUUGCCCAUGUGCCACAGCAGUCCUGAGGACCAGGUCAAGCUGCAGACAUCCUGAAUACCCUUCUUCUUUUUCACUAGCUCUCAACAGCAGCUUCAAGCCCCACUAACCUGCCAGAGAAUGCUGCUUUCCAGAGAAGGAUCCUGGGGGACUCAAAUGGCAUGGGACUCAGAAGUCAUCCUAUAAGCCAAUGUCGCAAGCAGCUGAACUGUCAUUCAUGGCUACAACAUCACUGAUGUGGGAUCCAUGAAGCAGGCUGGAUUACAUCUCUGCUCUGAAGACCACAUCUCCAAAAUGGUUUAGACAUGGAAUUUGACCAUUUUUUUACCUACAGAGAUCAGUGCUUUUAAUGCAGAUAAUUUCUGAUCUUACGGUUGGAUGUCUCGUAAGAAUCUGGCAUUGUUUAUUACCAAAUGUAAUGUCAUUUGUUCUUUGUGUCUCUCUAAGAAAUAAAAGUUAUUCUAACUGCAAAGGGACAGUAUAUACAUGACCUCAAAAAAUACUGUAAAACUGUAUGUAAAAAUAAUGUGAAAAUACUAAUCUUUGAUUCAUGGUGGUAGAAUCUGUAAUUUAUAAUGACAUGAUGAAAUUAAAGUAUCCCUAUAUAAAAAUAA